GAGAGAGAGAGAGAGAGAGUUAAGUGAUGAAAUUUUUGGAAGAGAUAUAGGAAUUAGCUUGUAUUUUCUUAACUUGGAGCAAUGCCUUGGAAUCGAGGUUUUUGUUGCACUGGCUUUCACAGCCGAUCCAAUUGCUUCUCUAGUUGACACAGCAUUCAUUGGUCAAUUAGGCAGUAGCUAUCUUCGAACCGAGUGACCGAGUCAACUUCUGAGCUCGGAGCCUUUGUAGGGCUCUCUUAUCCACUUUUUAUUUCUGUUUAAUUUCGUUUCUGUUGUAUUCUGAACUCAGUUAGAUAUGCUUUGUUAUCGCCCUGUUAGGGUUUGAUUUGUAGGGCCGGAGGCCUUUGUUGUAAACUUUUAUGAAGCAUGCUGCCU